rnacentral:rRNA from 1 species
GAUGAACGCUGGCGGCGUGCCUAAUACAUGCAAGUCGAGCGAACAGACGAGGAGCUUGCUCCUCUGACGUUAGCGGCGGACGGGUGAGUAACACGUGGAUAACCUACCUAUAAGACUGGGAUAACUUCGGGAAACCGGAGCUAAUACCGGAUAAUAUAUUGAACCGCAUGGUUCAAUAGUGAAAGACGGUUUUGCUGUCACUUAUAGAUGGAUCCGCGCCACAUUAGCUAGUUGGUAAGGUAACGGCUUACCAAGGCAACGAUGCGUAGCCGACCAGAGAGGCAGAUCGCACACACUGGGACUGAGACACGGUCCAGACUCCUAAGGGAAGCAGCCGUAUGGAAUCUGCCGCCAGUGGCGAAAGCCUUGCGCAGCAACACCGCGUGAGUGAUAAAAAUCAUCGGAGUAUACAACUUGGUUAGUAGGGUAGAACAAAUGUCUAAGUAACUAUGCACGUCUUAACGUUACCUAGUCAGAAAGCCACAGCUAACUACAGG